AUACCUUUCUCGGCCUUCUGGCUAAGAUCAAAUGUAGUAUCUAUUCUUAUUAGUUUAAUAUCUGAUAUGUGGGCCAUUGGCUCACUCUUUAUUAAAUUAAUUAAUUUUUUAAGGGAGAGGGUCCCCUACAGUAGCUUGCUACUAGCCGGGGCAUCUCAAGCGUUGCUUUGGUGUUGCACUAUUGCCUUGGCCUGGCGCACCCCAC